rnacentral:lncRNA from 1 species
CUGUUUAAACCACCCCAGGUGUCAUCACUCCCUGACGUCGCUCACCGACUAUAAAAAUCAUCUUUAAUGGAAGACUGGUCCAGAACCCAGUGCUCCGGUUACAUAAUGGGGAAGAGUACUCACUGUGAAGACACCGGCUUGCCUGUUCUGGAUCAGGGUGAACACAUCUUUGAACUUCUCAAAGACCUUCCACUUGUGUCAGGAGGGCAAGGGAGGAGUGGGAAGGGGUGAACAGAUUAGGUUAGGUAAGGGACCAGCACCUGCCUUACCUCACAAGAGACUCCGAAAGGCUUGGUUAGAAGACAUCAAACCUCAGCUUUUUCUUUAUUUUUUAUUUUAUUUUAUUGGUUUUUCGAGACAGGGUUUCUCUAUGGCUUUGGAGGCUGUUCUGGAACUCCCUCUGGAGACCAGGCUGGUCUUGAACACACAGAGAUCCUCUGCCUCUGCCUCCCGAGUGCUGGGAUUAAAGGUGUGCGCCACCAACGCCUGGCUCAGCUUUUUCUUUAAAUGAAUCAAAUAUCUAUUGGCUGACUGCUCUCUACCCAUCAGGAAGUGGACUAAAAGGCUUUUGGGAUGGGGGAUUAGAAAUGAAAGGGGACUGGUUGCUAGGCAGUCUGCCUGGUUAUUAUUGCUAUUCAGAGCUGGGCAUGGUGGUGUAAGCCUGUCAACCUAGCAUUUGAGAAGUCACUGCUGGAAGAAAGGACAUAUUUUAAAAUCAGCAUGUGACUGGUGAAUUUAUUGCAAGGCUGACAGGAGUCAGACGUCUUUCUGCUGUUUGGUGGCUGUCCUGGUUACACAGUACAGUGAAGGAGUGCCAUGGUUUUGUUGUUGUUUGCUUGUUGUUAUGAAUGGCAGGGUGAAAAUGUGAACAUGAAAAUGGUUGGAGGUAUCACAAAAGCUAAUUAGUAAGAGUGGUUUAUUUUUCUUUCAUUAAAUAAAAUGAGACAAAUUGGGCUUGACAAAUGUGGUCAGUUGAGACAAUCACAAAACUUCCUCUGAAUAUUCCUACUUCCUCUUGUUAAUGUUUUUUGCUUCUGGUUUUUCUGCUAAGGG